rnacentral:rRNA from 1 species
AGUUCGAUUCUGGCUCAGAUUGAACGCUGGCGGGGAUGCUUGCAUAUGCAAGUCGAACGGCAGCACGGACUUCGGUCUGGUGGCGAUAUGAAGAACGGGUGAGUAAUGUAUCGGAACGUGCCUAGUAGCGGGGGAUAACUACGCUAGAAAGCGUAGCUAAUACCGCAUACUGGCCCUUCGGGGAAAGCGGGGACCUUCGGGCCUCGCACUAUUAGAGCGGCCGGAUAUCGAUUAGCUAGUUGGUGGGGUAACGGCUCACCAAGGCGACGAUCCGUAGCUGGUUUGAGAGGACGACCAGCCACUGGGACUGAGAUGGCUUCAGACUCCUACGGGAGGCAGCAGUGGGGAAUGGACAACGGGGAACCCUGAUCCAGCCAUCUCAUGUGUGCGAUGAAGGCCUUCGGGUUGUAAAGCACUUUUGGCAGGGAAAGAACGGCACGGGAUAAUACCCCGUGCAACUGACGGUACCUGCAGAAUAAGCACCGGCUAACUACGUGCCAGCAGCCGGUAAUACGUAGGGUGUAAGCGUUAAUCGGAAUUACUGGCGUAAAGCGUGCGCAGGCGUCUGGAAAGAAAGAUGUGAAAUCCCAGAGCUUAACUUUGGAACUGCAUUUUUGGGUUCACUGAGCUAGAGUGUGUCAGAGGGAGAAUUCGCGUGGCAGGAAUGCGUAGAUAUGCGGAGGAACACCGAUGGGCAAGGCAGCUCUCCGGGAUAACACUGACGUCAUGCACGAAGCGUGGGGAGCAACAGGAUUAGAUAAUUCUGGUAGUCCACGCCUCAAACGAUGUCAACUAGCUGUUGGGGCCUUCGGGCCCGGAAACAGCGCAGCUAACGCGUGAAGUUGACCGCCUGGGGAGUGUUGGUCGCAAGAUUAAAACUCAAAGGAAUUGACGGGGACCCGCCGCGGUGGAUGAUGUGGAUUAAUUCGAUGCAACGCGAAAACCUUGCUCACCCUUGACAUGUCUGGAAUCCUGAAGAGAUUUGGGAGUGCUCGCAAGAGAACCGGAACACAGGUGCUGCAUGGCUGUCGUCAGCCCGUGUCGUGAGAUGGGUUAAGUCCCGCAACGAGCGCAACCCUUGUCAUUAGUUGCUACGAAAGGGCACUCUAAUGAGACUGCCGGUGACAAACUGGAGGAAGGUGGGGAUGACGUCAAGUCCUCAUGGCCUCAGGUAGGGCUUCACACGUUUGCCAAUGGUCGGGACAGAGGAAGCCGCCAACCCGCGAGGGGAGCCAAUCCCAGAAACCCGAUCGUAGUCCGGAUCGCAGUCUGCAACUCGACUGCGUGAAGUCGGAAUCGCUAGUAAUCGCGGAUCAGCAUGUCGCGGUGAAUACGUUCCCGGGUCUUGUACACACCGCCCGUCACACCAUGGGAGUGGGUUUUACUCAGAAGCGUAGUUAGCCUAACCGUAAGGAGGGCGAUUACCACGGUAGGAUUCAGACUGGGGUGAAGUCGUAACAAGGUAG